GAUGAACGCUGGCGGCGUGCCUAACACAUGCAAGUCGAGCGGAAAUUAUAUGGUGCUUGCACCGUAUAAUUUUAGCGGCGGACGGGUGAGUAACACGUGGGUAACCUGCCCUAGACAAUGGGAUAACAAUGAGAAAUCAUUGCUAAUACCAUAUAAGCUUACACUAACGCAUGUUAGAGUAAGAAAAGAUUUAUUGGUUUAGGAGGGGCCCGCGUCUGAUUAGCUAGUUGGUGUGGUAAAGGCAUACCAAGGCGACGAUCAGUAGCCGAUCUGAGAGGAUGGACGGCCACAUUGGGACUGAGAUACGGCCCAAACUCCUACGGGAGGCAGCAGUGGGGAAUAUUGCACAAUGGAGGGAACUCUGAUGCAGCAACGCCGCGUGAAAGAAGAAGGCAUUAGUGUUGUAAACUUCUAUCGACAGGGAAGAAAAAAUGACUGUACCUGAGUAAGAAGCCCCGGCUAACUACGUGCCAGCCGCCGCAGUAA
rnacentral:rRNA from 1 species